rnacentral:lncRNA from 1 species
CGAAUCGGAGUUGUAACGAAGAAGAUACGAUCAAAAUACCGUGAAGGGCAAAAUAGUAAUUUGGCCAAAAAGUCAGAUUUUUAACCCUUUUUCCUUCUCUCUCUCCUCAUUUCUCUCUCCUCCCGAUUUUUGCUCCAGCCGCCCGACCUUUCCUCCUUCUCCUUGACGCCACGGCCGCCACACUUGGAACCGAUCUCCACCGUUGGUACCAAACGAACCAGCACUCGACCGCCGACGUUUCUUGACCCUUCGCCGGAGUUUCCGUGGCCGGAACUCGCCGGAAAACUCCAUUUUCGCCGGAUUUCCAGUUUGAACUUUGAGCUCGAUUUUCUCCUUCAAUUCUCCACCAAAUCGAUCGAGUAAGGUAUGGUUUCUCAGCUAUUUUUCGUGUUCUAGCUAAUGGAUGUAUGGGUUUCGAUCGAUUUUAGCUCUAAAGGGUUCGAUUUUCGACUUGAAAAUUGGCCGAAACUUCGGCCGCCGUAAUCUACUGUUUUCGAUCACUUUUUGGGGUAUGUCUAAGAACAAAAGUGACUCCAAAUGGGGUGUUUUACCUAGGAUAAGACUUUGGAGUCUUGGUUCCGAGAUUUUUCGGCCACUCGGUAUCGCUUUAGACAAUCGAAUCUGCCCGCGCGUGCUGGGGUGCGUGGGCGAGGGUGGUGGAGUAACUCUGGGCAGUUUUGAGAUCCUCGUGUCAUGACGAGCGCGUAGGAUUUCGCGGAUCUCGAUUCGGAGUCCGUUUGAGCCCCGAACGGAUUUUCCAUAUCGCGCAAUCCUUGGGUGCAGUGUCGUCAAAUCGUCGGAUCGCGCUGAAUUUCAGAUAUGUCGGUCUACAUGAUUUCAGGAUCGUGUAGGAUUCAACGGAUUGCGAAUCGCAGUCCUGGAUACUCCGAAAUCGCGAACCCUGGGGCUAGGGUUUGGAUUUUAAGCGAUAACGCGAUUUUGGCUAAUCCGACCGUCCGUUUCGGACCAAACUCGCAGAACAUGGUUCCUUCUCUGUAAGGAACCUUCAGAGGAGCCCAGAUUGGCCAUCGGAGACCGUGGACCCACGGGGUCCGGGAUCGGCCGAUCUGGCAGUAUAUCGCUUAGUAAGGCUUCGGGUCUCUUAAGGUCGUUCUAACUGUCUAAAAAGCUAAUGUGGGCAUAAGAGUAACUUUAAAAUGAGUGCACGUAUUUCCAGGAACCGGGGGCAGGGUGUUUAAUUUGAUUCUUUUUAUUCAGCAGUUUAUUGAUUUAUUAUUCAUGGAUAAUCAGGCACUAGAGGUCCAGUCGACCUGCAGGAAGGACCUUCGAAGGGUCCAAUUAGCUCGGACCAUCAGUGAGUGGACUUUCUUUCAUAACGAUUUUAUAUGCAUGAGUUAUAUCUUAAACGAUUUUAUAUGCAUGAAUUAUAUAAAUGAGAUUAUUUAAUUGAUUUUUUUUAUAAUGAGUUUAUACAAAUAAGCUUUUACAAAUUAGUUUAUAUGGGUUAAUGUCAUUAUUUGAUCUUGAAGAAGUUUUAUGAACUAUUCAUUUCGAACGUGAUCUGUGCUGUACAAUACUUUGAUUUACGUGUUGUUCAGUUAUUGAAGCUCAGUAAUAUAAAAAGCAGAGUUUGAGAAUUCUAUCAGAGGAGACAGCAGUUAAAUUUCAGUUUCACAAAAAGGCAGUGAGUUAUUAGAUUUUUCUAAAAAUAGUUUAUUUUAGAACCACCAUGUACCCACCCUUUACUUGGUGAUUACCCAGAGUUGGACCGAUGUCUACGGACAUCCAGUCCGAUUUCAGUUUAUGUCAGUGCACUUGACUUUGCCUCACGAGUUUCGGGGACGCUCGGACCGUGAGUGCCAGGAUUUGCGGCUCGGCAGACUUGGUGUCCCGAGACCUGCCAGGAUUGCGGCUCGGCUGACUCUGUGUCCCCGAGACCUGCCAGGAUUGCGGAUCAGGCUGACUACGGUCCCUGCAUCCUGCCAGAGCGACGCGAGCUGACUUGGUGUCAUCGAGGAAUCUGCCGGCGGAUCAGGCUGAUCAUAGUCCCCUGAUUUCGCCAGUUUGCGGCUCGGGUAGACUGCGUGGCGCCCGAGACCUGCCAGGGGAAUUGACGGAUAUGACAGGGGUACAAAUAGGUGGUAUUUUCAAAGGAUUUUGAGUUUUCUUUUAUUCGAUUAUGACUUUCAGUUAUUUUAUAUCAGUUUCUUUGAUAUUCAUGCAUUUAUAUCUUUACAUAUUUGUUCAGUUAUACGAGCACAUUCAUCAGUAGGUUUUUACAUGCUUAUUUGAAUACCUUGUAUUGAAAUAUAGACAAACCCUCGAGUUAAAUCCUUGCUUAUUUUUAAAUGGGGGUUACUAUGUUUAUAAAAUUUAUUUUCAAGAACUUAAUUUUUGUCCACUCACAUUUUCAACCUGUUUUUCGCCCCCAGGCCGUAGAAGUGCGCAGGAUCCACCACCGGGCCAUCUCUAGCUUCCGCGCCAUCAAGUAUUGAGUUUUGUGGAAAAGUUCUUGAAACUCUGUGAACUUUAGAAAAUGCUCUGAUAUCUAGUUUUAGUGGAAAACUGGAGUUGGUGAAUACUUGGUUAUUCUAUUCUGGUAGUUGGUGUGGAUUUAUUUGAUUGUUUAACAGGUGAAAAAAAGUUGGGUUUGGUCAAAAUACAGGGGAGACUCUGCCGAAUUUUCGGCAGAAGUCUAAGGGAAAAUUUAAAAAGAAUUUGAAACAAGAAGGGUAAAAAGGUCCUUUGUGCUAGACAUUCGUCAGGUGUCGGACACGCACAGGACUGGGCUCGAAUUCCGAAGUGGAAAUUGGGUCUGGUCCUGUCAGUGAAGGUAUCAUGCGAGCAGUUGCAGACCCCUUGGACAUCAACUUGUUGACCCCUUCGGUGCACUAAACAUGCUCGACAAAAGUCCCCAAAGAGAGAAAGGUGGGUUGAUGGGUUACUGCGAUCAUAUAAUGGGUGAGUGCGAUGGCAAUGGGUGAGUUUUAAUUUUGGAGAGAGAGAGAGAGAGAGAGAGAGAGAGAGAGAGAGAGAGAGAGAGAGAGAGAGAAAGAGAGGAGGAGAAAGGAUUAGGGUGGAUGUUGUUGUGAAAGAGAAGAUGGGAAGGUACUGAUUUUUCUUUUCUUUUUCAAAGUGGAACAUACCUUCUUUGUGUGAUGCUUUUGUCUUCUUUGCUUUCUAUAUGUUUUGUUUUCUAGUUUUCUCUGACUGUUACAAUUAUUAAUCUGCUGCAUUGGUUUUUCGUACCAUGUAGUGAGUUACAACUAAAUCGGAAAGUAAUAUUAAUUCACA